GGUCUGUGUAUCAGAGGAGGUUCGGGGAGGGGGUGUCUGUGUAUCGGAGGAGGUGGUCAGAGGGGGGAUGUCUGUAUUGGAGGAGGUUUGGGGAGGGGGUGUCUGUGUAUCGGAG